rnacentral:rRNA from 1 species
GCAUAUCAAUAAGCGGAGGAAAAGAAACUAACAAGGAUUCCCCUAGUAACUGCGAGUGAAGCGGGAAAAGCUCAAAUUUAAAAUCUGGCGGUCCCUGUGGCCGUCCGAGUUGUAAUUUAGAGAAGUGUUAUCCGUGCUGGACCGUGUACAAGUCUCCUGGAAUGGAGCGUCAUAGAGGGUGAGAAUCCCGUCUUUGACACGGACUGCCAGUGCAUUGUGAUGCGCUCUCAAAGAGUCGAGUUGUUUGGGAAUGCAGCUCAAAAUGGGUGGUAAAUUCCAUCUAAAGCUAAAUAUUGAGGAGAGACCGAUAGCGAACAAGUACCGUGAGGGAAAGAUGAAAAGAACUUUGGAAAGAGAGUUAAACAGUACGUGAAAUUGCUGAAAGGGAAACGCUUGAAGUCAGUCGCGCCGUUCAGGACUCAGCCUUGCUUUGCUUGGUGUACUUCCUGUUUGGUGGGUCAGCAUCAAUUUUGGUCGGUGGAUAAAGGCUUAGAGAAUGUGGCAUCUUCGGGUGUGUUAUAGCUCUGGGUCGCAUACAUCGGCUGGGAUUGAGGAACUCAGCACGCCGCAAGGCCGGGGACUUGUCCCACGUACGUGCUUAGGAUGCUGGCAUAAUGGCUUUAAUCGACCCGUCUUGAAACACGGACCAAGGAGUCUAACAUGCCUGCGAGUGUUUGGGUGGAAAACUCGAGCGCGUAAUGAAAGUGAAAGUUGAGAUCCCUGUCGUGGGGAGCAUCGACGCCCGGAGCAGACCUUUUGUGACGCAUCCGCGGUAGAGCAUGUAUGUUGGGACCCGAAAGAUGGUGAACUAUGCCUGAAUAGGGUGAAGCCAGAGGAAACUCUGGUGGAGGCUCGUAGCGAUUCUGACGUGCAAAUCGAUCGUCGAAUUUGGGGUAUAGGGGGCGAAAGACUAAUCGAACCAUCUAGUAGCUGGGUUCCUGCCGAAGUUC